UUUUAUGGAGAGUUUGAUCCUGGCUCAGGAUGAACGCUGGCGGCGUGCCUAAUACAUGCAAGUCGAGCGAACGGACGAGAAGCUUGCUUCUCUGAUGUUAGCGGCGGACGGGUGAGUAACACGUGGAUAACCUACCUAUAAGACUGGGAUAACUUCGGGAAACCGGAGCUAAUACCGGAUAAUAUUUUGAACCGCAUGGUUCAAAAGUGAAAGACGGUCUUGCUGUCACUUAUAGAUGGAUCCGCGCUGCAUUAGCUAGUUGGUAAGGUAACGGCUUACCAAGGCAACGAUGCAUAGCCGACCUGAGAGGGUGAUCGGCCACACUGGAACUGAGACACGGUCCAGACUCCUACGGGAGGCAGCAGUAGGGAAUCUUCCGCAAUGGGCGAAAGCCUGACGGAGCAACGCCGCGUGAGUGAUGAAGGUCUUCGGAUCGUAAAACUCUGUUAUUAGGGAAGAACAUAUGUGUAAGUA
rnacentral:rRNA from 1 species